rnacentral:lncRNA from 1 species
GAAGAACCUCUUAUUCUUAUGCAAAUGGGUUUUUCCAACAGGGAGAGAAACUUUUAAUUGCCAUUGGAUGGAGAUGGACUCCUCGGCUGGAGGAGGGGAAGGCACCAUGCAUGCGUGGCAGGGAAUGCUGGCCAGCCAGCCAAGCGGGGACUUGGGCCAUGCGCCAUAGCCCCAGGCACUGUUCUAGGCAUUGAAGAUACAGAAGUAACCUAAAUGGAUAUUAACUUUUCUCAUGGUGUUCCGGUGUGGGAAGACAGACAAUAAUAAUACAAAAGAGUGAAUAUGUGUCAGAGUGUGAAGAGAGUUUUGGAGAAAAAAGACAGAGUUGGUAGAUAGUACUGGGGUUGCUAUUUUAGACAGGAUGAUCAGGAAAAAUCUCUUUAAUUUGGUGAAAAUUAAGCAAACACCAAAAUGCAAUGAGGUGGCUAUGUUGGGGAAAAUGUAAAUUACAAUUUAUAAAAUGCAUUACAAAGUGUAUUAUUUUAUUUGAGUUCUACAACAACUGUAGGAAGCUAGAUAUAUAUUAUUAUCAUUCUUAAUCUUGUGGAAACUACAGUUAAGAGAGGGCAAGGGAGUUGAAGUUACCUGCCUAGUAGAGAGGGGUGUUAUAUUUAAUCCAAGUCAAAUAUUACUAGUUCAGCAACAGGUCUUGACAAAAUUGCUUACUUUCUCUAAGCCUCAGUCACCUAAUUAUUAAGAUGGGGAUAAUAGUAAUAGUGACCCCAUAGAGUUGUGACAAUUGUAAGAUGAUCUGUAUAAAUCAAUUUAGUGUUUGGCAUAGGCGUCUGACAAGCCUUGACUCUAGAUCAGGGGUCAGCAAACUAUUGCCCUCAGGCCAUAGCCGGUCUGCUGUCUGUUUUUGUAAAACAUGCGAGCUAAGAAUGGUUUUUACAUUUUAAAUGGUUGGAAAAACCAAAAGAACAUUAUGUGGACUUCAAAUAUCAUUGUCCAUAAAUAAAGUUUUAUUGGAACACAGUCAUUCUCAUUCAUUUAUGUUUGUCUAAAGCUGUUUUAUGCUACAACAGCAAAAUUGAGGAGUUAUAACAGAG